rnacentral:rRNA from 1 species
CGGGUGCACUGAUCCAGCCGGGCCUUUCCCUCUGUGGAACCCCAUGGCCUUCACUGGCUGUGGUGGGGAAACAGGACUUUUACUUUGAAAAAAUUAGAGUGCUCCAGGCAGGCCUAUGCUCGAAUACAUUAGCAUGGAAUAAUAGAAUAGGACGUGUGGUUCUAUUUUGUUGGUUUCUAGGACCGCCGUAAUGAUUAAUAGGGACAGUCGGGGGCAUCAGUAUUCAAUUGUCAGAGGUGAAAUUCUUGGAUCUAUUGAAGACUAACUACUACGAAAGCAUUUGCCAAGGAUGUUUUCAUUGAUAAGGAACGAAAGUUAGGGGAUCGAAGACGAUCAGAUACCGUCGUAGUCUUAACUAUAAACUAUGCCGACUAGGGAUCGGACGAUGUUAUUCUUUGACGCGUUCGGCACCUUUCGAGAAAUCAAAGUGCUUGGGCUCCAGGGGGAGUAUGGUCGCAAGGCUGAAACUUAAAGAAAUUGACGGAAGGGCACCACCAGGGGUGGAACCUGCGGCUUAAUUUGACUCAACACGGGGAAACUCACCAGGUCCAGACACAGUGAGGAUUGACAGAUUGAGAGCUCUUUCUUGAUUCUGUGGGUGGUGGUGCAUGGCCGUUCUUAGUUGGUGGAGUGAUUUGUCUGCUUAAUUGCGAUAACGAACGAGACCUUAACCUGCUAAAUAGCCCGUACUGCUUUGGCAGUUCGCCGGCUUCUUAGAGGGACUAUCGG